GUCGAACGAUGAAACCUAUCUUGCUAGGUGGAUUAGUGGCGCACGGGUGAGUAAUAUAUAGGUAAUGUGCCUCUUAGUCUGGGAUAGCCAUUGGAAACGAUGAUUAAUACUGGAUACUCCUUCUAACUCUAAUGUUAGUCGGGAAAGUUUUUCGCUAAGAGAUCAGCCUAUAUCCCAUCAUUUAGUUGGUAAGGUAACGGCUUACCAAGGCAAUGACGGGUAGCGGGUUUGAGAGGAUGAUCCGCCACACUGGUACUGAGACACGGACCAGACUCCUACGGGAGGCAGCAGUGAGGAAUAUUGCACAAUGGGGGAAACCCUGAUGCAGCAACGCCGCGUGGAGGAUGACGCAUUUCGGUGUGUAAACUCCUUUUAUAUGUCAAGAAAAUGACGGUAGCAUAUGAAUAAGCACCGGCUAACUCCGUGCCAGCAGCCGCGGUAAUACGGAGGGUGCAAGCGUUACUCGGAAUCACUGGGCGUAAAGGACGCGUAGGCGGAUUGGAAAGUCAGAUGUGAAAUCCUACAGCUUAACUGUAGAACUGCAUUUGAAACUUCUAAUCUAGAGUAUGGGAGGGGGAGAUGGAAUUAGUGGUGUAGGGGUAAAAUCCGUAGAUAUCACUAGGAAUACCGAAAGCGAAGGCGAUCUCCUGGAACAUUACUGACGCUAAGGCGUGAAAGCGUGGGGAGCAAACAGGAUUAGAUACCCUGGUAGUCCACGCCCUAAACGAUGAACACUAGUCGUCGGGAUGCUUGUCAUCUCGGUGAUGCACUUAACAGAUUAAGUGUUCCGCCUGGGG
rnacentral:rRNA from 1 species